UGGGGAAUAUUGCACAAUGGGCGCAAGCCUGAUGCAGCCAUGCCGCGUGUGUGAAGAAGGCCUUCGGGUUGUAAAGCACUUUCAGCGAGGAGGAAGGUGGUGAGCUUAAUACGCUCAUCAAUUGACGUUACUCGCAGAAGAAGCACCGGCUAACUCCGUGCCAGCAGCCGCGGUAAUACGGAGGGUGCAAGCGUUAAUCGGAAUUACUGGGCGUAAAGCGCACGCAGGCGGUUUGUUAAGUCAGAUGUGAAAUCCCCGGGCUCAACCUGGGAACUGCAUUUGAAACUGGCAAGCUAGAGUCUCGUAGAGGGGGGUAGAAUUCCAGGUGUAGCGGUGAAAUGCGUAGAGAUCUGGAGGAAUACCGGUGGCGAAGGCGGCCCCCUGGACGAAGACUGACGCUCAGGUGCGAAAGCGUGGGGCAGCAAACAGGAUUAGAUACCCUGGUAGUCCACGCUGUAAAACGAUGUCGAUUUUGGAGGUUGUGCCCCUUGAGGCGUGGNUUCCGGAGCUAACGCGUUAAAGUCGACCGCCUGGGGAGUACGGCNCAAGGUUAAAACUCAAAUGAAUUGC
rnacentral:rRNA from 1 species